UAGGGAUAUUAGUGGCGGACGGGUGAGUAACACGUACUUUUAAGUCACUAGGACGGGGACAACAGUUGGAAACGACUGCUAAACCCGGAUGAGCCGAAAGGUAAAAGAUUUAUCGCCUAGAGAGGGGCUUGCGUCUGAUUAGCUAGUUGGUAAGGUAAAGGCUUACCAAGGCGACGAUCAGUAGCUGGUCUGAGAGGAUGAUCAGCCACACUGGGACUGAGACACGGCCCAGACUCCUACGGGAGGCAGCAGUGGGGAAUUUUCCGCAAUGGGCGAAAGCCUGACGGAGCAAGACCGCGUGGGGGAGGAAGGUUCUUGGAUUGUCAACCCCUUUUCUCAGGGAAGAAAGCAAUGACGGUACCUGAGGAAAAAGCAUCGGCUAACUCCGUGCCAGCAGCCGCGGUAAUACGGGGGAUGCAAGCGUUAUCCGGAAUGAUUGGGCGUAAAGAGUCCGUAGGUAGUCAUUCAAGUCUGCUGUUAAAGAGCGAGGCUUAACUUCGUAAAGGCAGUGGAAACUGGAAGACUAGAGUGUAGUAGGGGCAGAGGGAAU
rnacentral:rRNA from 1 species